GCGAAACCGCGAAUGGCUCAUUAAAUCAGUUUUGGUUCACCCGACAGUACCAGUACAUGGAUAACUGUGGUAAUUCUAGAGCUAAUACAUGCAGCAAGCCCUAAUUGCUUCGGCGAGAAGGGCGCAGUUAUUAGAUCAAAAACCAAUCGACCUUAACGGGUCGUUUUAUUGGUGAAUCUGAGUAACCAUAGCAAACCGCAUGGCCUUGAGCCGGCGGUCUGUCGGUCAAGCAACUGCCUUAUCAGCUUGUCGUUAGGUUAUAUGCCUAACGAGGCGUCAACGGGUAACGAACGAUCGGGGUCGGACAUCGGAGAGGGAGCCUGAGAAACGGCUACCACUUCCAAGGAAGGCAGCAGGCGCGCAAAUUACCCACUCCCGGCACGGGGAGGUAGUGACGAGAUGUAUUGAUGCGGGCCUAUUAUGGUUCGUAAUCAAAAUGAGUACACUUUAAAUCCUUUAACGAGGACCUAUUGGAGGGCAAGUCUGGUGCCAGCAGCCGCGGUAAUUCCAGCUCCAAUAGCGUAUAUUAAUGCUGCUGCGGUUAAAACAUUCGUAGCUGGAUCUGGGUUGCCGGCGGGCACUUUGCAUUGAUUUAUAUUAGUGUAUUAGUUGCUAGUACGGUGCUUUAUGUACCUAGCCAUCGCUGUUUUCUUAUGAUUAUAGUGUAUGGUCGCCGGCACCACCUGCCGAACCGUGUCUCAUAUUCUUCAUUGAGUGUGUGAUGCGUUCGGUACUUUUACCUUGAAAAAAUUAGAGUGCUCAAAGCAGGCGUACAGUCGCGUUUAGCGGCUUGAAUAUUGAUGCAUGGAAUAAUGGAAUAGGACCUCGGUUCUAUUUUGUUGGUUUUCAGGACUCGAGGUAAUGAUUAAGAGGGACAGACGGAGGCAUUCGUAUUGCAACGUUAGAGGUGAAAUUCUUGGAUCGUUGCAAGACGAACUAAUGCGAAGGCAUUCGCCUAGGAUGUUUUCAUUGGCCAGAUGAAUGAAAGUUAGAGGUUCGAAGGCGAUCAGAUACCGCCCUAGUUCUAACCAUAAACGAUGCCAACUAGCGAUCCGUCAAUCUUUAAUAUUAUUGAGUUGACGGGCAGCUUCCGGGAAACCAAAGUCUUCGGGUUCCGGGGGAAGUA
rnacentral:rRNA from 1 species